AAAUGGGCAAGGAUGGCAGCCGAGGUUGGUAGCUCUGAUCUUUUUCUAGUUACACUAUGUUAGUGGGAUUCUAACUAUAGUCAUGGACUUGAGCCACGACAAUAUUCUUAGCCUUCAUGUUAUGUGGUGUAGACACAGAUAGGACAAGGCAUUUUUUUAUUUGUUUUUUGUGAAUCUUAAUCAUUGAUUCAGCAAUCUUGUAUAAGAUUUUGUAGAGGAGUUUAGGUUUUCCCUAAUUUGUAUUGGCAAAAAUUGCCAACGAUGAUGGUUGUUGGAAAUGAAAUGUUGAGUUAU
rnacentral:misc_RNA from 1 species